GUUUUACUAUUCACGAAAAUUAGGAAAGAGUGUAUUUGGGGUUUAGGAAAAAGGUGAAGGGCGAAGACACGUUCUUCUCUCAAGUGCUGAAAAAAAGGAAAUAGCAGAAAGUUAUAUGGAUAACAAAUCACCGAGCAAUAAGGCAUCUGAGGAGCUGGCACGUGAGUUGCUUAUUGCUAUCUCUGAUUCUUUACCAGAUAAAACUCUGGAUUCCGAUUUUGUGCCCGAAAGCAAGGACGCAGACAGCUUUGCAAGACCAAACGGUGAUUGGGAUGACAAGUUUAGGUCUGAAUUGAUUUCAAUCUCCUAUGUUGAAUCUCCCGAUGUCAAAAUCUGAUAUAUUACGAGUCUAGACUGUUAGUAACUUAUGCUACCCUUCUGGUUUGUUAUGUGGAUGAAUUUCCGCUGUGCCAAUUGUUGUGAAUUGAUUAUACUAUGUGGGCUAUCUUGCAACCCACAUGUAGAUACUCUCACCAGUCACAUGCUUGGUUUUGUAUUCUAAAAAUGACUGAUAAAUACUUAAUUAGUACUCUGUUAUAUUUUUGUUCAUAGAAAAUUCAAUCUGGAGAAUCUUACUCGUA